AGAUUAAGUUAUUAAGGGCGCACGGUGGAUGCCUUGGCACUAGAAGCCGAUGAAGGACGUUACUAACGACGAUAUGCUUUGGGGAGCUGUAAGUAAGCUUUGAUCCAGAGAUUUCCGAAUGGGGAAACCCAGCAUGAGUUAUGUCAUGUUAUCGAUAUGUGAAUACAUAGCAUAUCAGAAGGCACACCCGGAGAACUGAAACAUCUUAGUACCCGGAGGAAGAGAAAGAAAAUUCGAUUCCCUUAGUAGCGGCGAGCGAAACGGGAAGAGCCCAAACCAACAAGCUUGCUUGUUGGGGUUGUAGGACACUCUAUACGGAGUUACAAAGGACGACAUUAGACGAAUCAUCUGGAAAGAUGAAUCAAAGAAGGUAAUAAUCCUGUAGUCGAAAAUGUUGUCUCUCUUGAGUGGAUCCUGAGUACGACGGAGCACGUGAAAUUCCGUCGGAAUCUGGGAGGACCAUCUCCUAAGGCUAAAUACUCUCUAGUGACCGAUAGUGAACCAGUACCGUGAGGGAAAGGUGAAAAGCACCCCGGAAGGGGAGUGAAAUAGAACCUGAAACCGUGUGCUUACAAGUAGUCAGAGCCCGUUAAUGGGUGAUGGCGUGCCUUUUGUAGAAUGAACCGGCGAGUUACGAUUUGAUGCAAGGUUAAGCAGUAAAUGUGGAGCCGUAGCGAAAGCGAGUCUGAAUAGGGCGUUUAGUAUUUGGUCGUAGACCCGAAACCAGGUGAUCUACCCUUGGUCAGGUUGAAGUUCAGGUAACACUGAAUGGAGGACCGAACCGACUUACGUUGAAAAGUGAGCGGAUGAACUGAGGGUAGCGGAGAAAUUCCAAUCGAACCUGGAGAUAGCUGGUUCUCUCCGAAAUAGCUUUAGGGCUAGCCUCAAGUGAUGAUUAUUGGAGGUAGAGCACUGUUUGGACGAGGGGCCCCUCUCGGGUUACCGAAUUCAGACAAACUCCGAAUGCCAAUUAAUUUAACUUGGGAGUCAGAACAUGGGUGAUAAGGUCCGUGUUCGAAAGGGAAACAGCCCAGACCACCAGCUAAGGUCCCAAAAUAUAUGUUAAGUGGAAAAGGAUGUGGCGUUGCCCAGACAACUAGGAUGUUGGCUUAGAAGCAGCCAUCAUUUAAAGAGUGCGUAAUAGCUCACUAGUCGAGUGACACUGCGCCGAAAAUGUACCGGGGCUAAACAUAUUACCGAAGCUGUGGAUUGUCCUUUGGACAAUGGUAGGAGAGCGUUCUAAGGGCGUUGAAGCAUGAUCGUAAGGACAUGUGGAGCGCUUAGAAGUGAGAAUGCCGGUGUGAGUAGCGAAAGACGGGUGAGAAUCCCGUCCACCGAUUGACUAAGGUUUCCAGAGGAAGGCUCGUCCGCUCUGGGUUAGUCGGGUCCUAAGCUGAGGCCGACAGGCGUAGGCGAUGGAUAACAGGUUGAUAUUCCUGUACCACCUAUAAUCGUUUUAAUCGAUGGGGGGACGCAGUAGGAUAGGCGAAGCGUGCGAUUGGAUUGCACGUCUAAGCAGUAAGGCUGAGUAUUAGGCAAAUCCGGUACUCGUUAAGGCUGAGCUGUGAUGGGGAGAAGACAUUGAGUCUUCGAGUCGUUGAUUUCACACUGCCGAGAAAAGCCUCUAGAUAGAAAAUAGGUGCCCGUACCGCAAACCGACACAGGUAGUCAAGAUGAGAAUUCUAAGGUGAGCGAGCGAACUCUCGUUAAGGAACUCGGCAAAAUGACCCCGUAACUUCGGGAGAAGGGGUGCUCUUUAGGGUUAACGCCCAGAAGAGCCGCAGUGAAUAGGCCCAAGCGACUGUUUAUCAAAAACACAGGUCUCUGCUAAACCGUAAGGUGAUGUAUAGGGGCUGACGCCUGCCCGGUGCUGGAAGGUUAAGAGGAGUGGUUAGCUUCUGCGAAGCUACGAAUCGAAGCCCCAGUAAACGGCGGCCGUAACUAUAACGGUCCUAAGGUAGCGAAAUUCCUUGUCGGGUAAGUUCCGACCCGCACGAAAGGCGUAACGAUUUGGGCACUGUCUCAACGAGAGACUCGGUGAAAUCAUAGUACCUGUGAAGAUGCAGGUUACCCGCGACAGGACGGAAAGACCCCGUGGAGCUUUACUGUAGCCUGAUAUUGAAAUUCGGCACAGCUUGUACAGGAUAGGUAGGAGCCUUUGAAACGUGAGCGCUAGCUUACGUGGAGGCGCUGGUGGGAUACUACCCUAGCUGUGUUGGCUUUCUAACCCGCACCACUUAUCGUGGUGGGAGACAGUGUCAAGCGGGCAGUUUGACUGGGGCGGUCGCCUCCUAAAAGGUAACGGAGGCGCUCAAAGGUUCCCUCAGAAUGGUUGGAAAUCAUUCAUAGAGUGCAAAGGCAUAAGGGAGCUUGACUGCGAGACCUACAAGUCGAGCAGGGUCGAAAGACGGACUUAGUGAUCCGGUGGUUCCGCAUGGAAGGGCCAUCGCUCAACGGAUAAAAGCUACCCCGGGGAUAACAGGCUUAUCUCCCCCAAGAGUUCACAUCGACGGGGAGGUUUGGCACCUCGAUGUCGGCUCAUCGCAUCCUGGGGCUGUAGUCGGUCCCAAGGGUUGGGCUGUUCGCCCAUUAAAGCGGUACGCGAGCUGGGUUCAGAACGUCGUGAGACAGUUCGGUCCCUAUCCGUCGUGGGCGUAGGAAAUUUGAGAGGAGCUGUCCUUAGUACGAGAGGACCGGGAUGGACAUACCUCUGGUGUACCAGUUGUCGUGCCAACGGCAUAGCUGGGUAGCUAUGUGUGGACGGGAUAAGUGCUGAAAGCAUCUAAG
rnacentral:rRNA from 1 species